AGGAUGGAGGGAGCAGAAGCUCGAAGCAACCCACUCCCAUCAGCAGUGUUCAAGGCUACUCCUGAGGGGUGCUGAGCCCUCUGUCUUCCCAGACUACACUGGCUCAGAGCAAUCUAUCCAACGCCAUCCAUCCACCCAAUUCAUGGAGACCUACUUUGGAACUCUUGCUGUAUCAUGCUGGGAAGAAAGGGAUGCAGAGAAGUCAGUCCCUGCUCUUGUUCAUGCAUCAUUGCCUCACUUCUGCCAAUUGUGUCACUGGCUCCAGCCCAGGAGGAAGUGGUUCCAUCUUGGCUCCUUUCUCACCUUUCUCCUUGAUGGAGAAGUCAGGCAGAAGAUAGGUUCACAGCACUAUUUAGGAUGGAAGGCACUAGUAUCCCAUGGUUUCUAAUUCGCAGUUGGGAACGUAUCUAACAUCAAGGCUGCUCAGUGACUGACCUAGACCACGUAGGUCUGCAGGAGGCAGCGAGUGAUGUUCGCACAGUGACGGAAUCGGCUGCUGACGCACUCCUCAGAAUACGUCCCCACAUGCCUGGCCCAGCUGUGCACAGCUGUAUUCUUAGUGCUCAGAUGCCGGAGGCAGGAGGAUCAGGAGUUUGAGGCCAGGGUAUGUGAUGAAUUCAAAGCCAGCCUGGACUACUUAGCAAGACCCUGUCUCAAAGGAAAAAGGACACAACAACAAUCAAAAAACACCAAACAACAACAACAAACCAACCAAACAAACAUACACCUGAUGCUAAGUGAAAUGUCACUGUAAUUGCAAACCCCUAGGAUUCUGAACCCCUUGUCCUCUGUGGACUUGCUGUGUGCUGGGGUGUCCAGUCUCCCCAAAUAUCAUGCCCAGCACUCUUGGACUGGAGCCUAAAAAGAAGGCCAGGACUUGGCUUCCACUUCAGCCCCACAAACUCCAUUUCCUUUUCAUUUCAGGGUCUAAUAAAGUAUAGCAACAUUUACCCCAUUGCCCUUGGAGUGAGUGCGUGCCAAGGAGCAGGGAGCCAUUACCUUGGGUCAGAAAAGCAUUUUAUGAGUGUUGACACUGCCUUGGCAGGAGGCAGGGGGAGGUAUGGGGACCUUCCCUAGCUGGUAUUUCUUCCCAGCUUCCCUAAGAAGGAAAAAUUUUGUUUAAAUAACACCAAUGUAAUAGAACUGUCCAAAGUACAUGAUUUCAGCAAUGGAAUUUGUGGAAUCUAACUUGUGGUUCUCUUAGUUUUAUAACAGAGUAAAAAUAAUACAUUUUUCAUCAAGAUAGAAAUA